GGUCCCGUAGCUCAGCUGGAUAGAGCAGCAGCCUUCUAAGCUGUUGGUCACAGGUUCGAAUCCUGUCGGGAUCACCA
rnacentral:tRNA from 1 species